rnacentral:lncRNA from 1 species
UUUACCUUUAACUUAAAAGUUAUAACAAUAAAAUAUAUACGAGAUAAAUCAAAAACUACAAUUCCUUAAAUUUUCCAAUUAACACAAAAAAGUCUUCCUUGAAUGUUUCAAAAUACCCUACAAAUAUUUCUUAAAUAUUUCAUAAUAUAUAACAAACUUUAUUUUCUUAUAUAAAUAUAGUUGUUGUGCUUACACCCAAC